GGCUGUUAACAAUUGAGUUGCGCUGUUUGUAAAACAUGAAGGAGCAAACUAAUUCCACAAACAAAACUAAACAAAAGUUGGCUUUUUCAAAGACAAAAUUGUAUCGUGUUUUAGUUGAGAGUGUCUCAAAAAGAUACCCAGAUGAAGCAGGGAUUUACGAAGCUGUUAAAUCUAUUCUGAAAUAUUCGCCAAUAAAAUUUUGUAGAAAGCAGAAAUUGAAAAUUUAGAGUUUUUAAUGACAUUUUAGGAUAUAUGAUAUGAUUAUGUUUGUGUCUUGUGUAAAGCGCUUUAUUUUUAAAUAUACUUUUAUUAUUUA